rnacentral:pre_miRNA from 10 species
CCGGGCUGAGGUAGGAGGUUGUAUAGUUGAGGAGGACACCCAAGGAGAUCACUAUACGGCCUCCUAGCUUUCCCCA